rnacentral:rRNA from 1 species
UACGGAGGGUGCGAGCGUUGUCCGGAAUCACUGGGCGUAAAGGGCGCGUAGGUGGCGCGGGCAGUCAACGGUGAAAGUUCGGGGCUCAACCCUGAAUCGGCCGUCGAUACUCCCGGGCUUGAACACUGUAGAGGCAGAUGGAAUUCCGGGUGUAGCGGUGGAAUGCGUAGAGAUCCGGAAGAACACCGGUGGCGAAGGCGGUCUGCUGGGCAGUAGCUGACACUGAGGCGCGACAGCGUGGGGAGCAAACAGG